GACCUCUGGUUUCUCUUCAUACUUGCCUAAAGUCUUUCGCCUUUUACUAAAGACUUCCGUGGGGAGAGGAACAAACAUGAGUUAGUAUAUUUUUGGCAGGCUUUGCUGUAUGGCUG